UUAAGACUUCCAUGAAGACACCACUUCAAAUAAACCCUCCUUACCUGCCAGAAGUCUUCCAGAAGCUUUGGUUGCUCCAGUUUUCUCUGUGGGCACUGUCCCAAGGCUGUGGGCAGCAGCACAGGACAGCAGGCAGUGUCAGAUCC
rnacentral:lncRNA from 12 species